GUAACUACUAUUGCUUAGAUUCUUAGUUGGGGUCAUCCUUGUGGAUUCCUGGAAAUUUCUCUAGUGCCAGAUUUGGGAAUCAAUCUACCUCAAGAACCAGCAAUUCCACUCUUAGCCAUAUACCCAAAGGAUGCACAUUCAUACUACAAGGAGAUCUAUUCAAUUAUGUUCAUAGCAGCAUAUUUGCAAUAGCCAGAACCUGGAAGCAACCUAGAUGCCCCUCAACCAAAGAAUAGAUGAAGAAAAUGUGGUGCAUCUACACAAUGGACUACUGCUCAGUGGGAAAGGCAAUGACAUCUUGAAAUUUUUAGUUGACUGCCACAGAUUCUUCACACAAAUAUCUUGGAAGAGUCUUUGCAAGCCAAAUCUCCAUCAUCUUCACUGAUUUCAACAUUCUUAUCUCCAGAUCUCUGACAGAACAGCCCAUGGAGCUGCCACCACUUAAUGGUUCUUCAAGCUCAAAGUUAAAGUCCUUCUACAAUUCUCCCUAAAAAACAUGGGCAGGUCCAUCACAGCUAAACCCCACUCCUGGUACCAAUUUGUCUUAAUAUUUUGAUUACUAUUGCUGUGAUGAAACACCAUGACCAAAAGCAAAUUCAAUAGGAGUUUAUUUGACUUAUACUUCCAUAUCUCUAUUCAUCAUCAAAGGAAGUCAGGGUAGAAACUCAAACAACAAAGAUAUGUGAAAAGAAGUACAAUAGACUACUCAAAAAUUGAUUCAUAGCCAUAAUAAAUUUACACAUUAAAAUGAGCAAAAAUCAACCAGGGAGAUCUCCAGAGACCUACAAGGAUGACACGAUCUGACAAUCCAGGCAAUGGUGGAGAGGAUAACUUUUGAUUGGGUUUACUGCUACAGUGACAGAGAAGAGACUAUUCUGGGUCUACAGAUUCCAACUCGGUCAUCAUUUAUUAAUGGGUAAUAUCUACUUAUAAACAAAUAUAUUCAAUAUUUAUCAUUCUGUGCCUGGGUGACUGGAAAUAUUGCUGCAGUUCUUUGAUGGACUUCAUUUCUGCAAAUCUUCCUUUUACUACUUCUAAGUCCUAGAAGUGUAUAAUUAAUUGCAAAAUUUUAAUUUUCUUACUAUGGUACCCAUAAAUGCUUUCAAGAAAUCUUAAAUAUAAACAGUGAUAUAAUAAUAUGUGAUAUAAUUGCUCAACUACAAAAAAUAUUAUCACAGAAUGGACUUGCUAUGUAUGUUCCAAAUGAUAUUAGUUUCUACAAAUAAUACUGUAAAUGUUUUUAACACUGUUCACUUUAAUGAGAGGUCAUCCUAAAAAAAUCUGGGUUUUCAGUCAUAAUCUUGAGACCUGCCUAAAGGAAAUAUAUAUAUAUAUAUAUAUAUAUAUAUAUAUAAUUGACCCUAAUUCCACAAAUUUGUCUUUAAUCUCCAAGUUUUAAUUUUUAUUGGAAAUAUAUUAUUUUCUCAUACAAUGUAACCUGAUUAUAGUUUCCCCUCCCCCUAUUCCUCCAAGUUCCUCACACUUCCCCUUCUCUCCCCUCUGGAGCCACUCACUUUUUGUCUCUCAAUAGAAAAGAACAGGCUUCCAAGAGAUAACAUCCAAACAUGAGAAAAUAAAAUAAAAUGAAGCAAAAUACUAUCAUAUCCAAAUUAGAAACAGCAAUACAACAGGCAUAAAAGAGGCCCAAGGGCAGGCAUAAGAGUCAGAGACUCAUUCUCACAGUCAGGAGUCCAGUAACAUUGUUAUAAGUUAAUAGCUAUAACAUAUACACAGAGGACCAGGUGUAGAAACAUGUAUACCUUAUGCUUGCUGCUUCAGUCCCUGUGAGCUCAUAUGCACCUUCUUUAGUUAGUUCAGAGGCCCUGUGUUAUCCUGCUGUCCUCCAUUUCCUCUCACUCUUACAAUCUUUCUGCCUCCCUUUUCACAGGAUUAUUGAACUCUGAGGGAAGGGAUUUGAUGGAGACCUGCCAUUUAGAUUCUGUCUCCAGGUAAUGUCUGGCUGUCGGUCUCCAUCCUUUCCCAUCUGCUCUCAGAGGAAGUCUCUCUGAUGAUGACUGGAUACAGCACUGGUCUAUGAGUACAUUAGGAAUUAUUUUUUGUUAAUAUACUUUUAGACUAGCAAUGUUCGGUUUUACCCUAUGUCUCUGGGAUAUCUAGUCUCUGAUUCUUAGUUACCCAAGAAGUGCCAGGUAUGGUUUCCUUCCAGUGGAGUGAAUCAUAACUCAAAUCAGACAUUGGUCAGUUGUUCCCACAUGUUCUGUGCCACCAUUGCCCUAGUAUAUUUUGUGGGCAGGACAGAUUGUAGGUCAGAGGUUUUAUGGCUGGGUUGGUGUCUUGAUUUCUCUUUUGGUAACCCUCAGAGUAACUUCCCACACCAAAGAGACCAGAAUGUAGGGGUGAAGGCUCUAUUUAAGCACCAGCUUAACUUCUCCAAGUUCAAUGAGUUGUGUGGGUUGUUCUCCUUGUCAAUGGGACCCCAGGUGUCAGUUUGCAGAGAACCACCUUUUGUCUUUUCAACAGUCUGAGUUGUUUCAGGAUUUUCAUGUGACUGCCUUGGUCAACAACUCAACUGAGUACAAGCAAGUUCAGCAGUCACUUUCCU
ensembl:lncRNA